UAUAUUCCUAUAAGAAAUAAGGAAAAAAGAAGCCACUCUACUGUUAUUCUAAUUAUUAAGAUAAAUAGCACUACCAACCUUGUAUUGUAACUAAUAAUAUCUGAUAGAUGGUGAGAUUAAAAAAAAAAUUGACUACAGAAAGGUGUUCAAAAAAGUUGUGAAGUGAAGGAGGAAUUUGCAUGUGGGAGGUGAUUGGCUGGCCCAUUCUAUUGUUAUUCUCACCUCACCCAAUCAUCACCCUCAUGCAAAUUCCCCCUUCCCCACAAUCCAAUCCUGCCACUCAAUCUGUCUAUGAACCCAUUCCUCUGAAGCGCACCUCCCUCUGCCUCCUCCACCAACCAAUCAUCACCCACAUGCAAAUUCUUCACAACCCACAUCUGACAUUCAAUCUGCAAAUACACCCCGCCCACACAAGCACCCUUUCCUCCCUCUCCCGCAGCUAACCACCAUCCCUAUACAGUUUAUUAAUUACUAGAUCAUAGACCUUUCACAUAUAAAACAUAAAUACCAGUACAAUAUAUAAGCACAACCUUAUAAAACAUAUGAAAUAUUACAUAAAACCAAUUGGUAUACAGAUACAGCAAUAAAAUACAACAAAAAAAUACAAUAUAGCACAUCAAAUAUAAACAAUAUUUCAAUUUAGAUAAAAUUCAGUUAGCUAAGUCCAUCCUCAUAGCAAUCAACUGCAAUAUCCUUUCUGACACAUCAUUGGAAUGUAGAUUCAACAGAAUAAAUCCCAAGAAUUUGGAUCUUGAUUCUGAAUACAAUGUGCAGAAGCGCAAAUAAUGUGAUACGUCCUCAAUUUCUGGGGUACCACAAAUACACAACUGGAUGGCCAUAGGAAUUUGAGAAUAUCUGCCAUCAAUCAUGGUAUGAUUUGAAGUCAAAGGGCUGUAAUGCUUGCCUACAUACGUUGUGGAAAUGUAAGCUUUUCCAGAUAAACAGCCCUUUUGAUAGUUCAACUGAUAUAGUCAAUACUACUUUGAAAAAAUUGAGUUAUUAAGAACUUGUCUAUCCAGUUGUGUGCCAUGCUUAUAAAUAUAUUUAUGAAGCUUCUCUUUUGAGCUCAAGACAGAAAAAUUGUCAAGCAGAGUAGGAUAUAAUUGCAAGAACUUUUGAUAUCUUUAACUUUUUAAUAUCUUUGUAGCUUGACAACUGUUCAAAACAUAAUUAGGAAAAGACCUUAAUUGAAGAAUAUUUUAAAAUUCUGCAAUGCAUUAAUUCGAUUUUAUUUAACUGCUGUGGAAUUAUUAUUGAAUGAAUGCAAGAUUUAAUAGAAGGCAAACUAAACCUUGCCUGAAUCAGGGCUUCAGAUCUGGGAGAAAUCCCCUGACCUGACACUGUCGUCCUCAUUGUAAUCAAUAGGAACUUGGCAUGUCAAGCGAACCCAUAGAUUUUUGACAACAACCGGAGUGCCAGGUAUAAGUACUGACAGUGUCUUGGGAAAUGUCAUUUCACCUAAGGGCCCUGCCUUCUCCAGCCAAUCCUGACCUAUAUGCAAAUUCCCUUUCCACCUCACAAUCCCCACCUGCCACUCAAUUUGCAUAUAAAUCCCUCCCAUCACAAUCCGCUCUUUCUACUCAAUCUGUAUAUCUGCCCCUCCCCUUGGGAUUGUGACCUCCAACCACCAAAGAGACCCCCUGAUCCUCCUCUCCUCACUGGGGACCCCAACCUUGUGUCUUGGGGCCAGGAAUUCCCUCAGAAAGGGAGGGGGGCUGAGGAUCUUGUGCAAAAUUGGAGGCUCUGGGGGUAUCAUGGCAGUCCCACAAACUUCACUUGCAAAAUCCUCGGUGCUUUGCUGAUCUUCCCCUUCCACCCCAGCAGUCGAACCCGCUGCUAAUGAAAGUUACAAUUUGGGGCAGACAGAUGGGGCUGUUGCAACCCAGAUAAUUCUCCUCCUCUAGACCCUGUCAGUUCCUCUGGGUAGUGUUUCUACUGCUGCCACCUCCAGGCUAAGGGAGAAGAAGAAAGACCAAGUCAGUUUAUCCAUUUCCGCUAUUCUAAAAACUUUUGCAAUCCAGUCUGACAUUGUCGGAAGGUGUGACUACUUCCAAUGUUGUGCAUACUGUGGCAUCCAUGCUGCAUUUAUCAUGUUGUGCAAUACUUGAUUUUGUUUAUUUGGCAUUCCCAAUAAAAAUAAUUCAGGCUCUACUGGUAUCUUUGAUUUUAAAAAUUCCUGCAAUGUUUUUUCUACCUUGCCCUAGAAUUCCCUUGCUUUUUAAAUAAGAUCACCACUUGUAGAAUAAAGUUCAUUCUCUUUUCUUUCAUUUCCAACACUUAUUGUUUUUCCCUUAUACGUUUUAUCAAGUUUUGUUGGGGUUAAGUACCACCUGUUCAUUUUAUAAAAGGUUUUUCUAAGGUCAUAACACAAAAUUUUCUUUAAGUCAUUUGACCACAUUUUUCAAAUAUAUCUAAUUCUAUGUUGUGUCCAGCAUUUUGUGCCCAUUUAUUCAGCUUCUCUUUUGAGUUCAAGAUAGAAAAAUCUUCAAGCAGAUAAUAGGACAGGAUUGCAGCAACUUUUAAUAUCUUGAUUUCUUUGAUAUCUUUGCAGUUUGACAGCUAUUUACAAUAUAAUUAGAGGAGACUCUAAUUGAAGAAUCAGAUUUCUGCAGUAAUUUAAAAAAAAUGAAUCAGUGUGAGAUCUAAUAGAAGGCAAACAAUUCUCUGCUUGAACCAGAGCUGCAGGAAUACCAGAUGGUAGUAUUACGUGUCUUGAGAAAUGUCUUCCCACCUAAGGACCCCUGCCUCCUCCAGCCAAUCCCCACUUAUAUGCAAAUUCUCUCUCUACUUCACAAUUCCCACCAACCAGGCAAUCUGCAUAAAUAUCCCUCCCACCCAUGAGCCCCCUUCCUCCUUUUAUCUCACAAUCAGCUCCUGCAACCUAAUUUGCAUAUUCAGCCCUCCUCUUGGGAUUGGGACCUCCAACAACUGAAGAAUUUAGUUGGGGGCUGUAAUGAAGUAUGAGUUGUAUUCAUAUUUGUUGUGUUUAACUAUGUGCUUGUGGUUUGGUUGGGUAGGUGUGAGAUGGCGGCAGCCAUUUAGUGGCUCUCCUCUGAGGCAGUUGCCAUGGAGAUGUGGGUGGAGCCAUCUGCUGAGGGGAGGAGAAGUGAAGAGGUUUUUAAAAGUGAAGUCUUAGUCUGUGCUCUGAUGAGGCAUAGGGAAGAUUGAUUCCAGGUUGAUGGGAUCAAGGACACUCAAGUGUUCAUUUUGAGUCGGUUUCAAAUAAAUUUGGUGACUUAUUUAAUGUAGUCUGUGUCCUGGAAAGGCACAGAGAAUCUGUGAUAUUAUAUCACAGGGGUGACUGUGGUUUGAAGUCACUGGAUAGUCCAGGUUUCAGACUUUGGGAACCAAUCCCAGCUGGACUUACAGGAUCAUUGAAGUAACAGUUUAAAAGGAGCAGAGGAAGAAGUUUUAACUACUUUAAGUAAAAGAAGUGAUACUUUAGAGAGUUUGAUUCAUCUCAUUCUAGUAUUGUAACUGUUAAUAAGAAUACCUCUAAGUGAAACAUCUUUUGUAACCACCAAGCUUGUGCCUGAAUAAACUUGAUAUUGUUCUUUUUA